CUACAUGGGUGUAAUAUUUAACCUACAUUAAGGAGACUUGUAAUAUUUACAACACUGCACUAUAAAAUAUUGCCAUCAGCCAGGAGAGUUUGAAAGAGUUAUUAACGUCACAACUGUCACCACCUCGGUGUCAGGCAGCUUUCGUGCCCGCAACUAUGAAAUUAGGAGAAUGUAAUGAAAUAGAUGUCCAGGUGAAUGAAGUCCCUGCAAGUUACGGCGAUAGUGAUGGAUAUAAACAAGUUGAGAGAACAUUAAUCAAAAAUUUUUUUUCAUACAAUUUCAUAAUUACGUUCUGAAAGAUGGUAAUCAAGAAAAAACAUCAGUGGAUGAUGCGGAAGAAGUAGGGUGUUUAAAUUGCCUAAUAGAUGAUAUAUCAUUAUCAUUUGAUGGUCAAUGGUUAAAGAAACAUUUGAAAUUGCCACUAGAAAUGGCAAUCAAAGAAAUUGUGGCAAAGAAACCUCAUGAUCCAGUCAAUUAUCUUGGAUUUUGGUUGAUUCAUUAUCGAAAAUCCCAGGAGAACAAGCAGUGGCAAUUGGAAGCAGAUCAAGAGCUACGUCAUUACCGUUCUUUGAUUCGAGAACCAGUACUUGAAGUGGAGGAACAAAUCUCUAACAAAGGAGAAGAAGAAGAAGAAGAAGAAGAUGUAAUCCGAGAUAAGAAUUUUAAUUAUUACGAUGCUGUCGACACCACGGCGUGAAUGAUCAAUAAAACUAAAAUUAAAAGCAGCAACCAAAAUUCAGUCAAUUACAAUGAUACAUAAUAAACAGAAUUUUAGAAAUCUAUGAAAGUGUCCAUAAAUGCAAAAGUAUGUAAAGUAUCAACAGUAAUAUACAUGUUGCACCGUUUAGAAGAUAGUACAAACUUUUUUUAAGCUUAAAUUCUGUUUUCGUAUCUAUAAAGAUAUGAAUUUGGAAAAACAACCGUAGUCUAAUAAUAAGUUUGUUCGUAAGUAGUACACUAUUCGAUGUUAUAUACUCAUAAUUUAAAAAACACAGAACUAGUACAAAACAGAAUAGUUCGUGUCACGUUACAUGGAGACUGCGUUAUAGAACAGUAGCGCGCUGUCUGACCAUAACAUACCAUUCUCCCCUUAAAUUCGCGAAGACCGUCGCGUCGCGCUUCCCCCGAGGAUCGUCAGAUGCCACCAUUCUCGGCGUGACCGUAACGAGGUUCGGGUGGAUUC